UGUUAUAUGGGUAUUGUUAAUUGGUUAUUGUGAUAUAUGGGAAUUGUUAAUUUUUCCUAUUUUAAUUUGUGUUUAAUUUUUUCUAGUUGUUUAAGCUAAAUGAAAAUAUAUUGCUUCUUUUGGUUUAGGCUAAAUUAUUUAAAAGUAUGAUUUUUUUUUUUUUAAAUGUUAGAAGUGCACAUAUAUAUAAUUCAAGUAAUUUAGGUUAUGGGUGUCUUGCUUCAAAAGGGCCCUUCCCUCGCCUCUUGCCUCUCGCCUAAGGCCAUAAGUAUACCCUGUUGCCUUAGUGUCACUUUUCGCCUUGAGAACGCUGACUGAUAUAUCAAAAGCUCUCUUCCUUCAAGGCUUCUGAUAAGACUGAUAUACUAAUUUUGACUAGUAUGAGCCCAUUUAUCCUUGAAAAAUGGAAAGAUACAGUGCCUCUUUAUUUAAAUCUAAUGGCAGAAUGCCUUUACAACUAGUGCUUCACAAUUUCAUUGCCUCUCUCUUCCUUCCUCAAUUCUUCAAAAUUAUCACAGGAAUAAAACUAACAAAAUAAUAAAGAAACAAGAAAGAUAAAUGGUUGAUAAACAACCCCUAGGACUCAGUCUCAUGCAGAGAAUGCUCUGCCCUUUGAACUAGAGAAAUACCAGAUUCUCAAAAGCAUGCCCUGCUAGCAGAUGCCACCUCUUAUUUGUACUCUUCUUUGCCCUCUCAUCCAGUUGUUAUCACAUGCUCCCAGCACCUCAUC
rnacentral:misc_RNA from 1 species